rnacentral:rRNA from 1 species
UACGAAGGGGGCGAGCGUUGUUCGGAUUUACUGGGCGUAAAGGGCGCGUAGGCGGCCCACCAAGUCAGGCGUGAAAGCCCCGGGCUCAACCUGGGAACGGCGCUUGGGACUGAUGGGCUGGAGUUCGGGAGAGGAGAGUGGAAUUCCCAGUGUAGUGGUGAAAUACGUAGAGAUUGGGAAGAACACCAGUGGCGAAGGCGGCUAUCUGGACGGUUUCUGACGCUAAGACGCGAAAGCGUGGGGAGCAAACAGG